rnacentral:lncRNA from 1 species
CUGGUCUCCCGUAGCAACUCGAUCUCGGAUGACCCGCAUCGCACCACGAUUACUUCAAUUUCCCGCGAUUACUUCAAUUUCCCGCGUCCCUCCGCGAUUCUGUUUCCCACAUCCCUCCGCGAUUCCGCGUCCCUCCGCGAUUCCUUUUUCUGCGUCCCUCCGCGAUUCCGCGUCCCUCCGCGAUUCCGCAUCUCUCCGCGAUUCCUUUUUCCGCGUCCCUCCGCGAUUCCUUUUUCCGCGUCCCUCCGCGAUUCCGCGUCCCUCCAUGAUUCCGCUUCCCUCCGCGAUUCCGCGUCUCUCCACAAUUCCUUUUUCCGCGUCCCUCCGCGAUUCUGUUUCCCGCAUCCCCCCGCGAUUCCUUUACCCGCGUCCCCCCGCGAUUCCUUUGUUCAGGUCGGUGUGUAGAGUGCUUCAACGUCUCUCAGGUGUUCCAGCAUCCGCCAGGUCUGUCCUUGUCUCUCGUAGUUGGCCGUAGCCCUGCAGCGUCAGUCAGUGCUCUCUCUGUGGGAUUAUUCUGGGUUGUGCCUGCGUGCACAAAAGGAGGGGUCUGGGGUGCCUGCGAGCACAGUGGGAGGGGUCCUGGGUUCCUGGGUGGGACGUUUUAACACUAUAUAAGAUACUGUCACGCAGCAAUAAAUUGGCUUACGGCACAGAACACUGGUCGUUGUGUCCGUUUGUCCCGGGGCUUUCAGUCGGGUUAUCCUACAUAUGGUGACCCCGACGUGAUACGAACCCCGACGUGCAACCGGUUGGCGCGAGUUAGGCGCGGCGCGAGUUAGGCGCGGUGCGUACGUGCUAGGUACGCGGGUGGCCAUGGGGCCUGGAGUCGAUGAGGUGCGACUCCUGCUUAUCCUCGCCUUGUGCCCUGCAGUGUACGGGGGCUACUGGCAGGAGUAUGCUGUGGGCUACCGGACCGCUCCGCUGUUUCCAACGCCAUACGCUUACAACCUACGGUCUGCUGAGCCAGUACUCAACGGGACACUUCGUGGGUUGUUCCCGCCUGUUACUUGCCAGGGAAGGAAGCUGUCUACCAUCCUUAUCCAUGCCACCGUGCAGGCAGGUAUCAAUCUGACACAUGAAAUACACUUGUCAUCGGACGGCACCACACAUGCGACGGAGGACAGAAAAGAAACUGAUCUGCCAGUGGCGCAAUUGUGCGGCUCCAUUGACAUUUGGGACAAGGGGACAACGGCGGAUGUGACCAUUCCGCCAUGGACAGUUAAGACCAUGGUGCGCAAUCAGUCGGUGGCCUGGUUGUGGGUGGGGCCACCGGGCCAAGCUCCUGCACCGGAGGACUUUUCCUUGGGGAUGUUUGGACUGUAAAUAGCCAUGCGACGGCCCCUUACCAAUCGGUCCGCAUCGCGCAUGUUUCGAACUCUGUUCAUUGGCAUUUACCUAACCCCUAUUGGUUGCUCUGUUCUCAGGAACGUGCUUGGAAGGUGAUUCCAGCUAACACGACACUUGGUUUGUGCUCUAUGGGUCUGCUAUUGUGGCUGCAUCGCACUGCUCGCAGCCCUUGAGCAACCCGAGGAGUCU